rnacentral:tRNA from 1 species
GGAGGAGUACCCAAGUGGCCGACGGGAGCACGCUGCUAAUGUGCCAAGGGGUAACACCCUUCGUGGGUUCGAAUCCCACCUCCUCCG